rnacentral:rRNA from 1 species
GAUGAACGCUGGCGGCGUGCCUAAUACAUGCAAGUCGAGCGAACGGACGAGAAGCUUGCUUCUCUGAUGUUAGCGGCGGACGGGUGAGUAACACGUGGAUAACCUACCUAUAAGACUGGGAUAACUUCGGGAAACCGGAGCUAAUACCAGAUAAUAUUUUGAACCGCAUGGUUCAAAAGUGAAAGACGGUCUUGCUGUCACUUAUAGAUGGAUCCGCGCUGCAUUAGCUAGUCGGUAAGGUAACGGCUUACCAAGGCAACGAUGCAUAGCCGACCUGAGAGGGUGAUCGGCCACACUGGAACUGAGACACGGUCCAGACUCCUACGGGAGGCAGCAGUAGGGAAUCUUCCGCAAUGGGCGAAAGCCUGACGGAGCAACGCCGCGUGAGUGAUGAAGGUCUUCGGAUCGUAAAACUCUGUUAUUAGGGAAGAACAUAUGUGUAAGUAACUGUGCACAUCUUGACGGUACCUAAUCAGAAAGCCACGGCUAACUACGUG